rnacentral:lncRNA from 1 species
CAAACUUACAUCAUGUAAACAUUUAUAAUAUGACUUUUAUUUUCAGCAUUGACCAUUCUCCUGGGGGUCUCUUUAUUGCUGGCAGGCUGCUUUUGAAGGCACCUUUUGGCUUUUUUGUGACGAUGCAGCAAGCCAACAGACCUGGACCUACAAGCUAUCUUCUAUACCCAUCUGAAGAGCAAGUGGUUUUUGUGCCCCAAACCCCGAAGACUUCUAAAACACCAGACCGAGUGUUUUAGCAGCAGGAAUUGAGGAAGAGGCUGCUGUGACCACAUCUGUGGCAAGAGGACACCAAUGUCCCCAGCUGGGUAUUUCACAUCAGACACCCUGCAGGGAGGGUUUCCCAUGACCAAACUUGCAUCAUGCAGAGGGGAGAAACACAGGUACUUGGUG